AAACGCAAGCCCUUUGAAAACACCAGCCGCUUUUCCACAGAACAAAAGGAAAGAAAAAAAACAAAACCCUAAAAUCCAAUCCUUAUUUCCUGAUCAAAAUUCAUACUCACUCAGACUAGCGAUACUUCGCUGCACCUUUAAACACACAAAUCGGGCUUGCGUGUUUCAACCUAUCAAACAGACAAAAAAUAAAACUUCUGCAACAGUGAAAACCUCUGCGACGGUGGAGAUCUUUGUUCGUUCUCUACAACAGAUGAUUUAGAAGCUAACCCGUCUCUGCUUCAACAACAAAUGAUUCAGAAAGUAGACAUUUUCCCCCUUUUUGGUUUUUUCUAUUCAGUUGCCGUUUCUAGGGUUUCCAAGAAAAAAAAAAGGGGUGUAGUCGAAGUAUAAAUAGACGAAAAGUAAAACCUCUGCUACAGUGAAAACCUCUGCAACGGUGGAAACCUCUGUUCGUUCUCUGCAACAAACGAUUUAGAAUCUAUCUCGUCUUUGCUCUUCAACAACAAACAAUUCAGAAGGUUUAUCAUCUCUGUUUUGGAUUUUAAGACCUUUUUUUUACUAUUCAAGAAGAACUGCUGAAUUAAAUAAAGAGUGAAAGAGAAAAUGGAAAAUGCAAGUUUAGAAUGACAAAAAAGAUGGACGAUGAUGUUUGAAAAGCGAUCCAAAAGAAAACAGUAUGAAAUACAAAAUACUUUACAAAAUGAAGUUGCUGAAGCUAGAAAAUACAGGAAAAUAGUCAUUGCUGAAAAAAAAAAAAAAAGAGAAACAAAAUGGUAGUCAAUCAUGAAAAUUGUUCAUUACAUUCACCCGGUAAUGCUAUUGAACCUUGGAAUUUUGGCCCACCUUCUUAUGUAUGUAAGCAUUGUGGUGCUGUGUUAUGGUAUGAAGAAAGGAGUGUAAAAUCUAAAAGGCCUAGAAUUCCAAAGUUUUCUUUGUGCUGUAUGGAGUCAGAAGAGAAAAUAGCAACUACAAAAUUCUAUUUAGUUGCUGGUUCCUGUUUUACAUUCUACCUGAUCUGAUGUUUUUGAAGAGUGAUUGAAAUUGUAGAACUUUGAAAUCUGAAACUGUAAACUUUGAGUAUCUUAUGUUAGUAUCUAUUUAAUUGUUAGCCUCAAUCUUUCAUACUGUUGAAUACUUUGUUUUGUUGAAUUUGUGUGUCCAUGUGCUGAAUUAGCAGAUCAGGUCACAUUUGCUGGCUGUAUUAAUGGCGUGGAAGAUGUUUUAUAUUAUUUUUAAAAUGUAUUUGAACAAUGGUAAUUUGUACCAUUUGUUUAGUGUACAGUUUUAUAGCCUGAAUUUUUUCUUUCUUUCUUACAUGCUUGCUUUUUGUUUCUUUGGUUUGAUUCAAGUACUAAUUUUAAUAUUCCACUCUAUUUACAUAAUUAUCAGGGUCAGCUAAUUAUGGUUAAAGAACAUUUCAAAAGAUUAAAAUAAUAGUGUGUUGAAUGGAUGGUCCAAACUCCAUAUUGUGGGCAAAAAAUUAUCUACUAGAAUGAUGAUUACGUUUUGUAGAAUAAUCCUUUCAUGAACAUUACCACAUUCAUGCCCUUUUACAAACAAUGAUACUAAAUAGAAUGGUUAAGAUUAUGUACAAUUGGUGCUUCCCUUAUUGUUUUGACCUUCACUGCUACACGGCUUCAGUUUAAUGCUAGCCCUUAAAGAAAUAAACAGAAGGCCAGAAAAGUUAAAAAAAAAAAAAAAAAAAAGAAUUGAAGUGAGACUUAGACAUGGAAUGAGUCUCAAACAACUUCAAUGGACUUCUGGCAUUAGAUUAGUCCGUCAAUCACAAAACGGGUCCUGUUAGGGAAUGUCAAAAAGAAACACAAUUUUUGGAUGCUGUCAUUUUAGUCUAUGAAUUAUACUCCCAUCACACAUGGUAGAACAAUGUAACAAUUAUUGAUGAUGUAUCAUCCCAUAUAACAAUAGAAAUUUGUCGUUUCAUAUAAUCAGACACCAUAUUUUUUAAACAAAAGGGUACUAAACAAAAUGCAUCAAAGAAAAAAAAAUCUGAACUCUGAUGUAUAUACUACCUUACUGAAUGUACAUAUGUUUCUUUAGAACUACCUUACUGAAUGUACAUAUGUUUCUUUAGAACUACCUUACUGAAUGUAUAUGUUUCUUUAGAACUACCUUACUGAAUGUACGUAUGUUUCUUUAGAAGAGUAAACUGAAUGUAAACAGAAUGUACUGUUAAGUUACUA